UGUUCAGAGCCAUGGUGAGUGACAGGACCCGUGUCACAUGACUUCAAACUUGACACCUCAUUGGCUCUGAGACAGGAUCGAUUUCUUCAGCCUUAAUUUACUGGAAAUUGCACAAAAGGUUUAAGAAGCGGGAUCCACGUGCCAAGCAACUCCAAAGAAGUGGACAUGAGACGUGGCAGCGCAAGAGGAUAACAAGG